AAUAUAUAGGAUAAUCAUAGAUGGGAGUUAUAUGUAGUUCAAAAAUAUUUUCAAUAGCCUUUUCAUUUUGAAAACUUUUGCUUUAAUGUCUAACUGACAACUGAAAAAGUAUAAAUACAAAUUAUUUUUUUACUAUUCGAGCUCCAGUAAAAUUAAGCCCUUGGCAUACGUUUACCAAAGAGACUAAAUAUAACAAUUUAUACCUCUACGCAGUCGUAGCUGCUCUAUAGGAUUCCAUGCUAUGCAUAUAGACAGCCGCAGCAAGUGUGCAUGAUAGCCAGCCUCCUGCUCUUGCCUCAGCUCAUGUUACAAGUGCAGUCAAAGCUAAAUAAAUCAAAUUUUGAAGUGUGAUCUCUGCUGGAAGGAACGAAACGAGAAAAAAUUGAGAAAAAAAUAGAAUGCGACGCUAAGUGCAAAGCGUAACAAGAUCAACAACAUCAUUAGAAGCAUCAACACUGAGAACUGUGAGACUGUGGCUCGCGAUUGGGGAGUUUGUGUAAUUAAUGCGCCACUGAUCCUCUGGGGUAUGCCAAUUGACAUUUAACAUCAACCUGUGGUUGCCCACAGCCCAGGCCGAGGGGAAGCUGAAGAUGAAGCUGAGACUGCAGUUCGAGAAUUCACAUUUUACUUAUGCACGUUUAUAAAAUUUAUCAAGAAACA